UAACACUUUAGAAAUGUAAAAAUUGCUAUACAAAUGCAAGGUCUUAUUACUCUACUAGGUUGCAGGAUUCAAACAGGCCAGGAGAGUGCAUCUCAAUUGGAAUAAUUUCUGUGAUAACAGCCUUGGGCCAUCUUUGGAAAGAAGGUACCCCGCAAGCUCUGUCCAUUUCCUUGAAUAAGAACUCUUACAAAAUGCAUGAAAGGCAGGCACCAUUAAGCCAUUUGAACUGCAUUUCUCAUUUUUCAGAUACAUCAAUCCAGGAGCCAAAGCCCGGCUUUAGAGAUUUAAAGCUGUUAAAUAGCAUGUAGACCAUCCCUCUCGUUUUAUGGAUGCAGAAACUGAGACCUAUAGCAACUUCAGUGAAGGUCAAAGCUGUAAGAUUUGUCUUCUUACCUUAUAAAAGCAACCCUGCCUCCAUGACAGGGGUAUUAAUAUCUUUAUGCUGCACCUUAAAUUGUUUCAGAGUCUGCUCCCUCAGAAAACUCAACCUGUGACGGAUUCUGCUACAUGGGGUAAGUAGAAAAAAAUCUGAAUUUAAAGUCUGAAAAUUAAGAAUUCUAAUGCUGCCUGUUCCACUUACUUAUGUGACCUUAGACUAGGCAUCUCACAUCUCUGAAUGGUAGGUCUUUGUGUGUUCAUGUGUGUGUGUGUAUGUAAAAUACAGAUAAAAAUUCUUUCCUCACAGUAGCAUGUAAGAAAUUAAGUGUCAUAUAAGAAUGGUGGUAAAAGUCCUACAAAUAUAGCAGGAUAAUUUGUAAACCCCAAAGCAUAACAAUGAUGAUUAUUAAUGAACUCUCAUGGUGUAUUUGUUCUUUGAGCAAGACUUCUGUGGAUUACUCUUCCUAUAUUAAUACAUAAACAGUUUACUCUCUUGAAUACUCUAGAAAAAACUUUCAAAGUACUUCUUAACUAGUCAUGAGCUUGGCAAGUAUAGGAUUUGCAUUUUUAUCCAAAUAAUGGUAAAAAAUGAUGGCUUGAACUUUAUCAUAAUCACCCAUAUUUGUAUUCAUGUAGUGCAACUUUAUACUCUUUCAUCUCAAAAUUGAGAUUUCUGUGAAAGAGAGAUGAAUACGGAGAGCUUCUGUUGGAUAUUUAGUUUGAAUUGUAUGUUUUUUUUUCCAUUUUCUUCCAGAUAAAAGUUUUAAUGUUUCACAUAUUGAAGGUUCUAUAAAGAAGGAAAUAAGACAAAAUUUUAAAAAUGGGGUAAACAUGAAUUUUAUAGUCCUAGGAGGGAAUCGGGAGUCAAAAAAUUCAAUUCUAGUGCAGAAUACUAGAUAUUUACAGCUUAUUUCAGGGAGCCUAUGGUUGUGUCCACAGAUUGUACAUAAAAAGAAAUCUACCAAUUAACUAGAGUCCCAAACCUCAAAUAUUCCUUUAUGUUGAUUGAUUAAUUCAUUCAUUAAUCCACUCAUCAAUGAUAAAUUAAUAUAGUGCAAUAUACAAAGCACACGGCUCCUGAAAGCAGCCUGUAUUUCAUCUUUGUUCACUGUUAAAUCUCCCAAAGUCUGGUACAGUGGUUGGCACAGGGUCCGUGCUCAAAACUACUGGUUGAAUUGGUGCACGAAUUUCAUGGAUGCAUAAAAUGAAAGCCAAAAUGGAUCAGACAGAGCAUAGAUCUUUUUCUCCUAAUAACUCCAGUGUGUCUCCUUCAGUCAGACUGUAAGUAUUUCUGGGUCAAGAUUUUCACUAUUCUUUAUCUAGCUGAGUUCAUAAAACUCUAUAUUUUUCUCUUUCUUUUAACUAAUUGGAAAUGCACAUUCAGGAAAGUGCACAGAUCAUAAGUAAACAGCAUCAUGAAUUUGUAGAAAAGAAAUAAAGAAAUCGAAUAGACUUGUGGCUGCCA
rnacentral:lncRNA from 1 species